rnacentral:misc_RNA from 1 species
AACUUUCGACAAUGGAUCACUUGGCUCUCGCAUCGAUGAAGAACGCUGCGAAAUGCGAUAAGUAAUGUGAAUUGCAGAAUUCAGUGAAUCAUCGAAUCUUUGAACGCACCUUGCGCUCCUUGGUAUUCCGAGGAGCAUGCCUGUUUGAGUGUCAUUAAAUUCUCAACCUUCCAACUUUUAUUAGCUUGGAUAGGCUUGGAUUUGGGGGUUGCAGGCUUCAUCAAUGAGGUCAGCUCUUCUUAAAUGCAUUAGCGGAACUUUUGUGGACCGUCUAUUGGUGUGAUAAUUAUCUACGCCGUGGAUGAGAAACAGCUUUAUCAAGUUCAGCUUCUAACCGUCCAUUGACUUGGACAAUUUUGACAAUUUGACCUCAAAUCAGGUAGGACUACCCGCUGAACUUAAGCAUAUCAAUAAGCGGAGGCU